AUAACAGUGGCCUUAAUAUUAAAAUGGUGAGUUUCAAGUUAUAUAUUUAAUUGUAAGAAUUUUAUUUUUAAUAUAAUCGGCUCUAAUUGAGAAUCAAACUUUAGACUUCACAACUUUUUGAGACCGAAUGCAGUAUCAAUGAAGCUAAAGCUAAUUGGUUGAAUUGUAAGAGUUGAUUGACAGUAAAUACACGGUUGCGUAUUCAAAAACCUGACAUCAGCUGUCUUCCCCAAAAGGAAAAGAAAAUUUUUGACUAACAAAAGUGUGCUUAAAUAGGGAACACUCACACUUGCGACAGU
rnacentral:misc_RNA from 1 species